UACGAAGGGGGCUAGCGUUGCUCGGAAUCACUGGGCGUAAAGGGUGCGUAGGCGGGUCUUUUAAGUCAGGGGUGAAAUCCUGGAGCUCAACUCCAGAACUGCCCUUGAUACUGAGGAUCUUGAGUUCGGGAGAGGUGGGUGGAACUGCGAGUGUAGAGGUGAAAUUCGUAGAUAUUCGCAAGAACACCAGUGGCGAAGGCGGCUCACUGGCCCGAUACUGACGCUGAGGCACGGAAGCGUGGGGAGCAAACAGG
rnacentral:rRNA from 1 species